CCAUGGAAUUUCUAAUCAAAUUCAGGGUGUCAGAGUUCUUAUCUUCAAAGCACUCCAUGACCUGGACCCAGGAUACUUAAAAGACCAUUUAAUGUUCCAGGACAAAAGGCCGUGUUUGACAGCUUUGCUCCUCUGACACAAAGGGACCUUCAACAAUAAGAGUAAAGCUUGUCUGUGUGGGAGACAGAAGCUACUCCAGAGCUGGUCUGAGCGUGUGUAAUGAACACCCCAGGAACCAAGGACCAUCACAAACCUCACCACUUGUGCUCCAAGUGACCUGCCUUCUCUACUAUAAACAGAGCAACAGGUUGGAGACAGCGGGGCGGCCGAGAUUGGGAAGGGACUGGAACACUCCCAGCACCUUCAGCAGCCGUGGCUUACAGCACCCCCAGGUGGGCUGACUCGGACUCUCACCCUUCUUCAGCCCCACACACUGGCGGCCACCAACCUGCACCAGGAGCCCACCCACCCGCCUGCAGGGGAGCUGAGCUGUACCUGCUCCUGGCCACUUCUGGGACACAGCGCGGUCUGCGAUACCAGGACGGGCAGGAAGCCUGCCUUAGCACCCUCGCUGCGCCGCUGACAGGGAGCCACCUGAGGGCUCUAAUGUAUUCUACCAGAUGCCGAUUCCUAGCAUGGAGCAAUCAUUUUCCACUUGCACUGCCAGAGGACUGAUUGAGCCAUAUUGUAGCAAUACUUAAGCAGAAGGACUCCCUGUCAUGUAUGAGAUGUUGCUGGUCACCACUAACCCUGAGUUAAUGUAUACUCCAGCAGGGAGUGAAACUGUCAUGCAUGGAAGACUUUCAUCAGUGUAAAAGAAAACCACUGAGAUAAAUGCACCCAAUCACAAAUCCUGUUAGUUCAAGAGAAAUCAAUGGCGAAAGGUUUCUGUACCCUUAAUUAAAAAAAAGAA